UAUUUAUUUAUUUUUUUAGUUUUUGGCGGACACAACAUCUUUGUUUGUAUGUGGUGCUGAGGAUCGAACCCGGGCCGCACGCAUGCCAGGCGAGCGCGCUACCACUUGAGCCACAUCCCCAGCCCUCCUUUGAUAAUUUAAAGUGAUUUCUAUUGCCAGAUUUUACAGAAUAAUCUAAAUGUACUCUUUUAUAAUAAAUAUCCUGCACAUACUUCUGGAUAUUUCUGUG
rnacentral:lncRNA from 1 species